rnacentral:ncRNA from 1 species
GCGUGCGACUGGCGGAUUCGUGGGUAACCACAGGGGAGCACGUAGUAAAAAAGCCGACCGCCUGGGCACC